AACAAAAAGCACUAGAGGUGUGAGCAGUUUCGGCCUGUUAGGUGGACUAGUCAGGUCCUUUGUUU
rnacentral:tRNA from 1 species